rnacentral:rRNA from 1 species
UGGGGAAUAUUGCACAAUGGGCGAAAGCCUGAUGCAGCGACGCCGCGUGAGGGAUGACGGCCUUCGGGUUGUAAACCUCUUUCCGUAGGGACGAAGCGCAAGUGACGGUACCUGCAGAAGAAGCACCGGCUAACUACGUGCUAGCAGCCGCGGUAAUACGUAGGGUGCGAGCGUUGUCCGGAAUUACUGGUCGUAAAGAGCUCGUAGGCGGUUUGUCACGUCGUCUGUGAAAUCCUAGGGCUUAACCCUGGACGUGCAGGCGAUACGGGCUGACUUGAGUACUACAGGGGAGACUGGAAUUUCUGGUGUAGCGGUGGAAUGCACAGAUAUCAGGAAGAACACUGAUGGCGAAGGCAGGUCUCUGGGUAGUAACUGACGCUGAGGAGCGAAAGCAUGGGUAGCGAACAGG